rnacentral:rRNA from 1 species
UGGGGAAUAUUGCACAAUGGGCGCAAGCCUGAUCCAGCCAUGCCGCGUGAGUGAUGAAGGCCCUAGGGUUGUAAAGCUCUUUCACCGGUGAAGAUAAUGACGGUAACCGGAGAAGAAGCCCCGGCUAACUUCGUGCCAGCAGCCGCGGUAAUACGAAGGGGGCUAGCGUUGUUCGGAUUUACUGGGCGUAAAGCGCACGUAGGCGGACUAUUAAGUCAGGGGUGAAAUCCCGGGGCUCAACCCCGGAACUGCCUUUGAUACUGGUAGUCUUGAGUUCGAGAGAGGUGAGUGGAAUUCCGAGUGUAGAGGUGAAAUUCGUAGAUAUUCGGAGGAACACCAGUGGCGAACGCGGCUCACUGGCUCGAUACUGACGCUGAGGUGCGAAAGCGUGGGGAGCAAACAGG